AUGGCCAAGAUGAGCUGCUUCUCCAUCCUGCUCACCGGCCGGAGGCAGAAACGAGUGCAGGUUGGUGAUGCCGACAAGGGUGGUGGAACUGAGAGCGAUCGCGCCACGGUGAAGCCGGUGGCGGUGGAGUGUACUGACGCGCCGCCGGCGGUUGCCGCUGCCAUGGUGGAGAAAUGCGGCGACAAGAUCGUCGCCGAUGUGGUCAUCGUGGUGGCGCACAAGGGCGCCAGUGAGGUGUCGCCAGCAAGAUCGGACAGUCUGUCUGACGACAUUGAUUUCGAGUUCCACCCGCAGCACAAGUCCGUCGGCUUCGACGUCCAGGGACCGGAGAAGCAUGCCACUGGCACCGUGCCGGACGCGCGUCCGGUGGCCGCGAGCGCCGGGGAGGAGGCCGCGACGGCGGUGGUGGAGGAGGCUGCGGCAGCGGAGGUGGAGGUGGACCCGUCGGCGAAGCUCAAGCGCUCGUGCUCCAACAUGGAGACGAAGCGGCCUGGCCCGAGGGACUCCCCGGGCACGCGGGUGCGGUCGCGCUCCUACGGCGACCUGCCGGGCGACCUCCUCGUGGUCACCACCCCGCGGCGCGCGCACGAGGCGAGCCCCAAUGCGUCGGUGAAGACGUCGCGCACCGCCGACGGCGUUAUGCUCAAGCGGCGGUCGUCUAGCCAGGUGUUGCCGUCGCGGAGCCGGAAGCUGUGGUGGCGGCUCUUCCUCUGGAGCCACCGCAACUUGCACCGGCCCUGGUCGGCGCGCCCAAGCGACGCUGGCACUCCCCGCGGCGGGUACACGUCGGACACGCUCGAGGAGCCGGCCGACCGCAAGAAGAAGAAGGCGAUGGUGGACGAGUCGCCGGCGCAGCCGCCAUCGCAGAACCAGUGGGUCGCCUUCUGCGCCGACCACUCCCUGAGCGACCGCGUCAGCGACUGGGUGAGCAGCAUCGACAACAGCGGGUGCCUCCGCAUCGCCGAGGAGGAGGACGACGGUGGCGACCAGAGCAUGGACCUCACCGACGACCGCGUGGCGCGUCCGCGUCCCAUGGAGGCCGGGGAGACGUCGGGUAAGGGGGGCCACGGCAAGCUGGCCAAGCCGUGCGCGGCGGCGGACGACGUGGCCCAGGCCAACAGCAUCGUCCAGUCCCUCAACGGCUUCUCCUCCGUGGCGCACAUCUCCGGGAUGGGCCUCAAGGUCGUGCCCAUGAUCGCGCCCUUCUCCAACCUCCGCGCCGUCAACCUCUCCGGCAACUUCAUCGUUCAUAUCUCCCCCGGAUCGCUGCCGAAGGGCCUGCACACGCUGGAUCUGUCGCGGAACAAGAUCGCCAACGUCGAGGGGCUCCGGGAGCUGACUAAGCUGCGCGUGCUGAACCUCAGCUACAACCGGAUCUCGCGCAUCGGCCACGGGCUGUCGAACUGCACGGCGAUGAGGGAGCUGUACCUGGCGGGGAACAAGAUCGGCGACGUGGAGGGGCUGCACCGGCUGCUGAGGCUGGCGGCGCUGGACCUGGGCUUCAACAGGCUCACCACGGCCAAGGCGCUGGGCCAGCUGGUGGCCAACUACCACUCCCUCCUGGCGCUCAACCUGGUGGGCAACCCCGUGCAGGCCAACGUCGGCGACGACGCGCUGCGCAAGGCCGUCACCGACCUCCUCCCGCAGCUGGCCUACCUCAACAAGCAGCCCCUCAAGCCGCGGGAGGCGGCCACUGACAGCGUCGCGCGCGCGGCGCUCGGCACGGGAGGGCGCAGGAGGGGGGCGCCGCGGCGCCUGAGCCAGAGCCCCGGGUCGUCGUCGUCGUCGUCGUCCAGGAGCAGGUCCAAAGGCAGGCAGCACCACGGCUCGAGCAUGACGGCAAGGAAGUGA
rnacentral:rRNA from 1 species